AUACGGAGGGUGCAAGCGUUACUCGGAAUCACUGGGCGUAAAGCGCGCGCAGGCGGCUAUUUAAGUUGGAUGUGAAAGCCUACGGCUCAACCGUAGAACUGCAUCCAAAACUAUUUAGCUAGAGUGUGGGAGAGGAAGAUGGAAUUAGUUGUGUAGGGGUAAAAUCCGUAGAGAUAACUAGGAAUACCAAAAGCGAAGGCAAUCUUCUGGAACACUACUGACGCUGAGGCGCGAAAGCGUGGGUAGCGAACGGGAUUAGAAACCCUAGUAGUCC
rnacentral:rRNA from 1 species